rnacentral:rRNA from 1 species
GUCAAUGGGCGAAAGCCUGACGGAGCAAGACCGCGUGAGGGAAGAAGGUCUGUGGAUUGUAAACCUCUUUUGAUAGGGAAGAAGUUCUGACGGUACCUAUCGAAUCAGCCUCGGCUAACUCCGUGCCAGCAGCCGCGGUAAUACGGAGGAGGCAAGCGUUAUCCGGAAUUAUUGGGCGUAAAGCGUCCGUAGGUGGAUGUUCAAGUCUUCUGUCAAAGCGCGGAGCUUAACUCCGUAAAGGCAGAGGAAACUGAGCGUCUAGAGUGCGAUAGGGGCAAGGGGAAUUCCCAGUGUAGCGGUGAAAUGCGUAGAUAUUGGGAAGAACACCGGUGGCGAAAGCGCCUUGCUGGGUCUGCACUGACACUGAGGGACGAAAGCUAGGGGAGCGGAAGGGAUUAGAUACCCCUGUAGUCCUAGCUGUAAACGAUGGGUACUAGGCGUUGUCCGUAUCGACCCGGGCAGUGCCGUAGCUAACGCGUUAAGUACCCCGCCUGGGGAGUACGCUCGCAAGAGUG